rnacentral:rRNA from 1 species
UAAGCCUACGGGGGGCAGCAGUGGGGAAUAUUGCACAAUGGGGGAAACCCUGAUGCAGCAACGCCGCGUGAGUGAAGAAGUAUUUCGGUAUGUAAAGCUCUAUCAGCAGGGAAGAACAAAGACAGUACCUGACCAAGAAGCCCCGGCUAACUACGUGCCAGCAGCCGCGGUAAUACGUAGGGGGCAAGCGUUAACCGGAUUCACUGGGCGUAAAGGGAGCGCAGGCGGCACGGCAAGUCUGGUGUGAAAGCCCGGGGCCCAACCCCGGGACUGCAUUGGAAACUGCCGGGCUGGAGUGCCGGAGG